UACAGAGGGGGCAAGCGUUAUUCGGAAUUAUUGGGCGUAAAGGGCGCGUAGGCGGCUUUUCAAGUGACGGGUGAAAUCCCUCGGCUUAACCGAGGAACUGCCUGUCAGACUGGAAGGCUUGAGACCGGGAGAGGUGAGUGGAAUUCCCAGUGUAGCGGUGAAAUGCGUAGAUAUUGGGAGGAACACCAGUGGCGAAGGCGAGUCCCUGGACAACUCCUGACACUGAGGCACGAAAGCUAGGGGAGCAAACAGG
rnacentral:rRNA from 1 species